GACGAACCUGACAAACGUUAUUCGGAAUUACUGGGCUUAAAGGGUGCGUAGGCGGCGCAGUAAGUUGGGUGUGAAAUCCCUCGGCUUAACCGAGGAAUUGCGCCCAAAACUACUGUGCUCGAGGGAGAUAGAGGUGAGCGGAACUUAGGGUGGAGCGGUGAAAUGCGUUGAUAUCCUAAGGAACACCGGUGGCGAAAGCGGCUCACUGGAUCUCUUCUGACGCUGAGGCACGAAAGCUAGGGUAGCAAACGGG
rnacentral:rRNA from 1 species